UACGGGGGGUGCAAGCGUUAUCCGGAUUCACUGGGUUUAAAGGGUGCGUAGGCGGCUUUGUAAGUCAGUGGUGAAAUAUGGCAGCUUAACUGUCAAGGUGCCAUUGAUACUGCAGAGCUUGAGUACAGAUGAGGUAGGCGGAAUUGACGGUGUAGCGGUGAAAUGCUUAGAUAUCGUCAAGAACACCUAUAGCGAAGGCAGCUUACUAAGCUGUAACUGACGCUGAGGCACGAAAGUGUGGGGAUCAAACAGG
rnacentral:rRNA from 1 species